GUGGGGAAUAUUGCACAAUGGGGGAAACCCUGAUGCAGCAACGCCGCGUGAGCGAAGAAGGCCUUUGGGUCGUAAAGCUCUGUCGGAAGGGAAGAAGGACGUGACGGUACCUUCCGAGGAAGCCCCGGCUAACUACGUGCCAGCAGCCGCGGUAAUACGUAGGGGGCAAGCGUUAUCCGGAAUUAUUGGGCGUAAAGAGUACGUAGGCGGUCUUUUAAGCGCAGGGUAUAAGGCAAGGGCUUAACCUUUGUUGGCCCUGUGAACUGGAGGACUUGAGUAUCGGAGAGGGAAGCGGAAUUCCUAGUGUAGCGGUGAAAUGCGUAGAUAUUAGGAGGAACACCAGUGGCGAAGGCGGCUUUCUGGACGAAAACUGACGCUGAGGUACGAAAGCGUGGGGAGCAAACAGGAUUAGAAACCCCAGUAGUCC
rnacentral:rRNA from 1 species